CUAGCGACUUCAGAGUUUCGAUCCUGGCUCAGGACGAACGCUGGCGGCGUGCCUAACACAUGCAAGUCGAACGGAGUACCCCUGAAUGCGGCUUCGGCCAAAUGAAGGGACUACUUAGUGGCGGACGGGUGAGUAACGCGUGAGUAACCUGCCGUGGAGAGUGGAAUAACACAUCGAAAGAUGUGCUAAUACCGCAUAUUGCAUUUAAAUCGCAUGGUUUGAAUGUGAAAGAUUUAUCGCUCCAUGAUGGACUCGCGUCUGAUUAGCUAGUUGGUGAGGUAGAGGCUCACCAAGGCGACGAUCAGUAGCCGGACUGAGAGGUUGAACGGCCACAUUGGGACUGAGACACGGCCCAG
rnacentral:rRNA from 1 species